AAUGACUCUCGGCAAUGGAUAUCUCGGCUCUUGCAUCGAUGAAGAACGUAGUGAAAUGCGAUACUUGGUGUGAAUUGCAGAAUCUCGUGAACCAUUGAGUCUUUGAACGCAAGUUGUGCCCGAGGCCUUGUGGUCGAGGGCACGCCUGCUUGGGCG
rnacentral:rRNA from 1 species